CUUAUGCAGAUGAUGAUGGUGAACAUAUUGAAAAGAAAUGGCACCUAUUUUACACAAGCGAGCCGUACAGCAUGGUGACAAACAUCGACCCACAGGAGUUUUGAAUCAGGAUCUGAAGACGAGGAAGGAGUGGUAGCAAAUUAAGGAGGCAAGAGCAUUGUUAAUUUCCUGCUGCUAGCUACAUACAGUACAUGGAGGAACAACAAGAUGAGAAACUUCAACCCCCAGGAGUCAUCAUGACCAAUGACCCUGCCUUGACUCUUGCAGAGGAAGGAGUGACAGGUUAACUUCCCGCUAGCUACAUACAGCUACAGUGCUGCUCACACAACUUGACGUGCAGCAAGAUUAGUCUGGACUAGUGGAUACAUAGCACUAGUAGCUUGCUCCCUGUUUUGUAUCCCUCCCGGUAUUCUUUGGUUCCUAGUACUAGCAGUGGUUAUUUAAUUUGGCCUGUAUGUAUAUAAGUUAUUUAACUGCAUGUACUACUGAAGAUGGUCUAUCAUUCGAUCAAUAAAGAAAGAACCUUUUUGUACUACCAAUUCU